rnacentral:rRNA from 1 species
UACGUAGGGUGCAGGCGUUAAUCGGAAUUACUGGGCGUAAAGCGUGCGCAGGCGGUUUCUUAAGUCAGAUGUGAAAGCCCCGGGCUUAACCUGGGAACUGCGUUUGAAACUGGGAGACUUGAGUGUGGCAGAGGGGGGUGGAAUUCCACGUGUAGCAGUGAAAUGCGUAGAUAUCGGAAGGAACAUCAGUGGCGAAAGCGACUUCCUGGACCAAUACUGACGCUCAUGUGCGAAAGCGUGGGGAGCAAACAGG